ensembl:snoRNA Gm25612 small nucleolar RNA SNORA61
ACCCUCUGGUUCGCUUUCCCAUCAGGCCUUGCUGCUGAGCUUGGUGGUCAUAAAGGAAAGAGUACACUGAAGCCGGCCUCACAGUGAUGUAGUGAGAAUAGAACAUAGGGCCAGACUCAAACAAGC